rnacentral:sRNA from 1 species
GGAAGUGAGAGCAAGCUGGCUGCCCCAUCUGUCACCCAGGGGUGGUCCGGAUCUCUUAGAUGGGUUUCCCUGGCCAGGCAGGCAUCCCCCCGCACCCCCCCACAUCACCCUACGGGCCUCCUUCCUGAGCUGCGCUGGUGGAAGAGGAAGACUUCUCCUGAGUGAGAAAAGAAGAGGCCUCUGGCUGCUUAGGACUGGUCUUCAGUCAAGAGUGUAGCAAUAGUUGUGCUUCUGGCUAGGAGAAAGUUAGUAACUGUCUUCAUCAUGGUGAGAAAGCUUGUUUUUAAUUUUUAAAAUUUAAAGAACGUACCGUACCGUACAGUGUUGACAUAAUAUUUAUUU